CAGAGGGGGCAAGCGUUGUCCGGAGUUACUGGGCGUAAAGGGUCCGCAGGCGGCUAUGCAAGUGUCGUGUGAAAGCCCCGUGCUUAACACGGGGAGGCCACGGCAGACUGCACAGCUCGAGGGAUGCAGAGGGUGGUGGAAUUGCCGGUGUAGUGGUGAAAUGCGUAGAGAUCGGCAGGAACACCCAGGGCGAAAGCAGCCACCUGGGCAUCAACUGACGCUGAGGGACGAAAGCGUGGGGAGCGAACCGGAUUAGAUACCCGGGUAGUCCACGCCGUAAACGAUGGACGCUCGGCCGCUGGGGGCUAUCAACGCUCCUGGGGGCCUUAGCUGACGCGGCAAGCGUCCCGCCUGGGAACUACGAGCGCAAGCUUA
rnacentral:rRNA from 1 species